rnacentral:misc_RNA from 1 species
GUAGGUGAACCUGCGGAAGGAUCAUUAACACGUGUCCCACGUACCAAACCAAAACCGUGAACUGUGAACGUAUAUCCGGGAUGAGUUAAAAUGGCGUCGGUAGUAAAGUCCAGGGUUGGCCUACCUCGGUGGGUGUACUCUGGGUUCCGCACAUUCGACUCAGACCGUUAACCAAAACCAUUAUUCAUUAUUAUUAUCGUCUUAAGAACUGUCGUGCUGACUACUAGAGGAUUGUGCGUAGCUUGUUUCG